rnacentral:rRNA from 1 species
UACGAAGGGGGCUAGCGUUGCUCGGAAUGACUGGGCGUAAAGGGCGCGUAGGCGGAUGGCACAGUCAGAUGUGAAAUUCCUGGGCUUAACCUGGGGGCUGCAUUUGAUACGUGUGAUCUAGAGUGAGGAAGAGGGUUGUGGAAUUCCCAGUGUAGAGGUGAAAUUCGUAGAUAUUGGGAAGAACACCGGUGGGCGAAGGCGGCGACCUGGUCCUUAACUGACGCUGAGGCGCGAAAGCGUGGGGAGCAAACAGG